rnacentral:rRNA from 1 species
GGUGAACGCUGGCGGUAGGCCUAACACAUGCAAGUCGAACGGCAGCACAGGAGAGCUUGCUCUCUGGGUGGCGAGUGGCGGACGGGUGAGGAAUACAUCGGAAUCUGCCCAGUCGUGGGGGAUAACGUAGGGAAACUUACGCUAAUACCGCAUACGACCUUCGGGUGAAAGAGGGGGAUCGCAAGACCUCUCGCGAUUGGAUGAGCCGAUGUCGGAUUAGCUAGUUGGCGGGGUAAUGGCCCACCAAGGCGACGAUCCGUAGCUGGUCUGAGAGGAUGAUCAGCCACACUGGAACUGAGACACGGUCCAGACUCCUACGGGAGGCAGCAGUGGGGAAUAUUGGACAAUGGGCGCAAGCCUGAUCCAGCCAUACCGCGUGGGUGAAGAAGGCCUUCGGGUUGUAAAGCCCUUUUGUUGGGAAAGAAAUCUUUCAGGCUAAUACCCUGGGAGGAUGACGGUACCCAAAGAAUAAGCACCGGCUAACUUCGUG